rnacentral:rRNA from 1 species
GAGAUCUAUUCAGUGAAUUAAUUUAUUGCUUUGGUAAGCCUAGCUUGCCAAUUUAAACCAGAAAUUUUGUUGUCUAAAAGAAAUAUUUUAAAAAAUUAAAACUUUCAACAACGGAUCUCUUGGUUCUCGCAUCGAUGAAGAACGCAGCGAAACGCGAUAUGUAAUGUGAAUUGCAGAAUGUGAAUCAUCGAAUCUUUGAACGCACAUUGCACCUUUUGGUAUUCCAAAAGGUAUACCUGUUUGAGCGUCAGUUCAUCCUCAAACGAAAGUUUGGUUUUGACUGAAUAUUUCAAUAUCGGCUGAAAUGUAUUGUGUUAAUAGGGGUGUAAUAAGUAUAUUCAUCCCGUAGUUAACCCAAAAACUAUUUUAAACGUUUGACCUCAAAUCAGGCAAGACUACCCGC